CCGCCCGUCACACCAUGGGAGUUUGUUGCACCAGAAGCAGGUAGCUUAACCGCAAGGAGGAGCGCUUGCCACGGUGUGGCCGAUGACUGGGGUG
rnacentral:rRNA from 1 species